rnacentral:tRNA from 1 species
UGGCUCAGAGGUUAAAGCGUCUGCCUCCAAUGCAGGAGACCCAGGUUCAACCCCUGG